GAGUUUGAUCCUGGCUCAGGAUGAACGCUAGCGGGAGGCCUAACACAUGCAAGCCGAGCGGUAUUUCUUCUUCGGAAGAGAGAGAGCGGCGUACGGGUGCGUAACACGUGUGCAACCUGCCUUUAUCUGGGGGAUAGCCUUUCGAAAGGAAGAUUAACACCCCAUAAUAUAAUGAUUGGCAUCAAUUAUUAUUGAAAACUCCGGUGGAUAGAGAUGGGCACGCGCAAGAUUAGAUAGUUGGUGAGGUAACGGCUCACCAAGUCGAUGAUCUUUAGGGGUCCUGAGAGGGAGAUCCCCCACACUGGUACUGAGACACGGACCAGACUCCUACGGGAGGCAGCAGA
rnacentral:rRNA from 1 species